GACGAACGCUAGCUACGGGCUUAACACAUGCAAGUCGAACGGCAAGGCCCUGCUUUUGUGGUGUGCUCGAGUGGCGAACGGGUGAGUAACACGUGAGUAACCUGCCCUUGACUUUUGCAUAUCUUCAGCAAACUGGGGCUAAUACCGGAUCGGAACUCCUUCUGCAUUGUGGGGGUUGGAAAGUUUCGGCGGUUGGGGAUGGACUCGCGGCUUAGCUUCUUGUUGGUGGUGUAGUGGCUUACCAAGGCUUUGACGGGUAGCCGGCCUGAGAGGGUGACCGGCAAAAUGGGGAAUGAGCUACGGGAGAGAGUCGUAAGGGAGACAGCAGUGGGGACUAUUGCAUGAUGCGCCGAAGCCUGAUGAAGCAACGCCGCGUGCGGGGUGACGGACUUCGUGUAGUAAACCGCUUUCGCGUGUGACGAAGCGUGAGUGCAGGUAAUGGGUAAAGAAGCACCGGCUAACUACGUG
rnacentral:rRNA from 1 species